GAAGAGGCCGGACCUGAGGGGAGAAUGCCUUUCCCCAGUUUCCUGAUCUUUGUGUCUGGGAAUGGGGCUGUUCCCCUCCUGUCCUGCAAUCUUA
rnacentral:miRNA from 1 species